GCUGAGGCCGCGGCCUGGCCCUUUCCCCAAAGGCCCGUGGGGCCUAGUGGUCUCCCAGCCAUCUAGGCCCUGCUGGGAUCCCCGGGGCUCCUGUACCAAAAUGAGCCCUCGUGUCCCCGGGAGGUCUCCCUGGGGGACCCCAACUGAUCGCUGUGUGGCCAGACCAGGUUUACUUGGUUUUGUAUUCAAAAGUUCCUCUGCUUUUCGUACUCCAGGCCUGUUCUAAGGCUCUUCCCUGGCCCUGACCUUGUGUUCUAAGCUUCUAAGCCCUGACAAUCUUUGUUCUCAGGUCCCUCCCAGUUCUAACAUUCUGUGUUCUAAAGCUCUCUUAGCUCUAGCAUAUUCUGCCCAAAGGCCCCUUCCAGCUCUGACAUCCUAUGUUCCUAGGGUCAUAGUCUGCGUUCCAAGGUCCCUUCCAGCUCUGCUGCUCUACGUCCUGAACAGAAAGGCCAUCUGAAAGAGUUGGGCACCAUGGGAAAGGUCUUCUGUGGAAGGAGGGCUUUGGUGCGAGUUUGAAGGAAGCCAUGGAAACUAAACAGUGGUUCCAGGAAAUGGACUGUGGGGAACAUCCCCGGAAGUUGAGACAAUGCUGAGGAAGCAAGAACUUCACCUUGAUGAGGGCUGCAGGGCACGCUGCCCCUGGCCCCCAACUCCUUCCUAGGGGAAGCCAUAGCGGCUUCUCUAGAACGGGGCCGGCCUGGGUCACAGGCCCUGAGAGCUCUUCAGAAGGCUGGCCCCCUUCUAGAAACUCAGCCCACAGCCCGGAACUCCCAGAAUUAGGAGAAGAGCAGUUCCAGGAAUCAGGGCGACUGAGGAGGCAGAUCUUGGGGACGACUGGAUCCAUUUGGCAAAUCUCCAGUCAGAGCGAUGAUGGGAACAGGAGAGAGGUGCAGGGGACAGAGCACCGGCCUUGCAGUCUGCAGGACCUGAGUUCAAAUCCGGCCUCAGACACUUCACAUGGCCUGGCUGUGUGACCCUGAGCAAGUCACUGAACCCUUAACCCCAAUUGCCUCCGCAAAAGAUAAUAGUAAUACUAAUAAUAAUGGAACAGGGCAUAUGGGACUUCCCUCUCAAGGGAAGGGAAAGGGGCGAGCAACGGAUUUUCUCGCCAGCCCAAGGCACGGUGUCCUGCAGCUGCCCUGUCUGUCAUUGUGGACCAUCUCCCAGGCUGCCCUCACCUUCCACACUGGGGUCCAGGGAAGGACCCCACCUCGGAACACCCGAGCCCAAGAACUCCCCGAUCUCGGCAUUGUAACCACCACUCGCCGCAGCUGUUCUUAAUCCGGGAAAAUGAUUAAAGCCUCGUGCUCCUGUGCAGGAGAGGACCCAGUAAGACCUGUGGCCCGCCCUCUUGGAGCUUGCGGUCAGAUACAAAGUGAAGUGAGCAGAACCAGGAGAUCAUUGCACACGGCAACAGCAAGAUUACACAAUGAUCAAUCCUGACGGACAGGGCCCUCUUCGGCAGUGAGAUGAUUCAGGCUGGUUCCAACGGUCUUUGUGAUGAAGAGAGCCAUCUACACCCAGAGAGGACUAUGGGAAAUGAGUGUGGACCACAACAGAACAUUCUCACUCUUUUUGUUGUUCGCUUGCAUUUUGUUUUCUUAAUCAUUGUCUUUCUUUUUUUGAUUUGAUUUUUUUUUUUGUGCAGCAAAAGAAUUGUAUAAAUAUGUAUGUCUAUAUUGGAUUUAAUGUAUUUUUGCCAUGUUUAACAUAUAUUGGAUUAGUUGUCAUCUGGGGAGGGGUGGGGGAAAGGGGGGGAAAUGGGAACCCAAAGUUCUGCAAGGGUCAGCGUGGAAAAGUUAUCCAUGCAUGUGUUUUGAAAAUAAAAAGUUUUAAUAAAAAAGAUUUUAAAUUAAAAAAAAAAAAGAUUGCCAUGUGCCCAGAUAACAGGGGGCCAUAUUGCACGUGAGUCCACAAGAAAACACAAAACAUUUCUUAGACUUCCCUGGUCAGAGAAGUCAUCUUGUUCCUCCAGGAAGUAUUUGAUGAAGAGUUAGGGACCAAGAUCACAUCCCAGCUCUCCCUCUAAUAGUAUUCAGUGCAACUUCAGGGAAGUCACUCAAUUGACGGGAACACGUUCCCUCAGUUGGAAAGCCGGGCCGUCGGGCCGACUCCUAAGACUCCGGGAUGAUGUGGAAAGUUCCCUGGGUCCAGAAGCGGAACGUCUAGGCUCAGAUUCCAUUUCUGACAGAAUGGCGCUGGGAGUUUGGAUGACCUUUUUUUCAUGUGUGAAAUGAGGGAGGGGGCGGCUUCCGGGAGCCCUUUCAGCUCCCAGAGGGUGAUCGAUCCUGGGAUUUUAUGAGAGACGGGAGAUCCGUGAGCCCCUGGUGGGGAGUGAUCCUGGGCGUGGAGCUGGCGGAGGCAAAUCCGGGAAGACUUCACAGAGGUUUGCUUCUGAGCCGGGUCUAAAGGAAGGACAAGGAACCUCCUGGCAAAAAAAUGGAGGUGGGAAAGCGGGAGACGUGGACUGGCUGGGGGAGUGUCCGGUUUGGCUGGACUGAGAAUCGAGGUCAUUUAGGGCUAAUUAAGGCCAGAAAGGCCAAGUCAGGUCCAUGAUAUGGGGAGCGUGAGAGUUUGAGCUUCAGCAAGGAGCUCCUGAAGGUUGUUGAGCAAAGGCGGUGACUAGCUCCAUAUAAAGAAGAUUAGGAGGAGAAUAGGAAAUUUAAUUUAAAAAGAUAAAGAAGAAAGAAUGAAUGAUUAGUCCGGCAGCAGCGGGAAGGACGGAUUGAAGGGGAGAGAGCAAAGGAAAGGAGAUCUACUAGAAGCUUCUUUUAAGCCUAGGUGGCUGAUGAUAAAAACCUGAACUAGAUGGUGAUUGGGGAAAAGGGGGAAGGGAGGAGAGAUGUGAGAAAAAUGAUAGAGGUAGAACAGAAAGGGCUGGGACAAGGGAGAAAGAUGAAGAAGAGAGAAGGAUGUGGAGAGGAAAAUAAAGAAGGAGGGAGGGGAGAGAGACAGAGAUAGAGAGAAAAUGGAGAGACGGAAGAAAAAAAGAAUGGAAAGAAAGAAAAAAAAGAGAAGAGGAAAGAAGAGGAGAUAGAAGGGAAGGGAAGAGAAGAGUAGAGGAGAAGACAGGACAGGAGAGGGGUGGGAAGAGGAGGAGACAAGAAAAGGCAGGGGGAAGGAAAGAAGAAGGAAAAGGAAGGGAAGGAAGGAAGGAAAAGAGAGAAAGGAGAGGAGAAGAAAAGAAGAUAGGAGGAGGAAACCUAAAAGCACAAAAGAAAGGAAGAAGGAAGGAGAACAAAAAAUAUAGAGGAAGAGCAACCUAGAUGAGAGAGGGAGAACAGUGAAGGAGACAACAAGAGAUGGGAAAAUGUAGAAGAGAGGCUGAUAAUGGGUGGAAGGAAGAGCCUAGAACAGUUGGUAUUAAAUACAUGCGAGUUGACUGACAGGCGGGGCUAGAUUGUGCCAUCCCUUGGCAACAUCUCGGUGUUUAUUAUUGAGGAAGCCUCCAUUAAGAUCUAGCUGGAGGUCUAUUCCUUGGGACGUUUACCAAAGAACUCUGGAUGGGGAUAUGGAGUUCUGGAUUCAGAUCCCAGCUCUGACACUUACUGCCUGUGGCUUCAGGGAAAAAAGCACUCACCUCCUGAGUCCUAGGCCCUAAGAGGGGGCCUGAUGGGAUUGAUCCAUUCAACCCAAAGACCACCAGGCACAAUGGGAACAGGGGAGGCAGGGGGCCUGGGUUCCAAUGCUACCUCUGUUACUUCCAAGCUGCAUGGCGAGUUGCUUUCUCCCUCUACGUCUCAGUUACUCAUCGAUGAGGGAGUAGAUCUAGAUGACCUCAAAAGUCCACCCCAACUCUAAUUGCCAUCCACCUUCCAGUGAGAAGGAAAGGCUCGGAGUGCCUCGGGAAGCCAGUGGCGUCAAGUAGAUAAUCAACUGCUGGUACUUAGUUUUUUUUUUUUUAAAGCACCUACUACGUGUUUGAAAAACACCUACUAGGCUAAUGGUUAUUGGGGAUAUAAACUAAAGCAAAAGUGUAGUUCUGGAUCUCAAGGAGGUCACCGUGUAACAGGCAAGUAGACAAUAACUCUCUCCAAACAAGCCAUAAAUGGGAUAAAUUGGAAAUAAUGUCAGAUAAUGUCAUAAUCAGGGGUGGGGGUGAAAACUUGAGCCCUUCCUGGGAUUCUGGGGAGGUAAAGGGUCAGACUCCCAGAGAGCAAAUGUUUCAUCCUCCCAGGGAUCAAAGCUCCCCCCAAAAGUGGCAAGCCUCCAGCCUCUCCAAGGAGACUGCCUCCACGGCCCAGGACCCACACGGGGCUGGAUCUCACUGCCUCCCUAGACUAGAGGUGAUGAAUGGAACCCACACAGAAUGUACCUGAGCAGAGACUCAGAGACUCAGAGAACCUGACAGAUGAAAAGGGACCUCACAGACCAGGCAGGCCGGGGGAAUCUUGGGAAAGGGUGAACAAGCUUUUUAAAUACCAGUUCUAAUCACUUCAAAUGGCACAAAGACUAUUGGGACACCCAGUAACUGGAUAGCUGUAUUUCAAUAUAAUUGCUUUUCUUCGUAAUCUUAUGUAUUUGAGCUUAUGGCUUUAAAAACAUUAUUCUGAGAAGGGGUCACCGAA